rnacentral:lncRNA from 10 species
AAGGGCUGGUAACCUGGGAAACUAUGGGAAGGACAGGGAGCACCCCCUUCACAGUCCCAUACUUCCAGGCAGCAGGCUGUGGGGGACAGUAUAGCAAUACGGUGCCUUUCUGCUAUACAGCUGCUUAACUAGCAUCGGUAUAACGUAGGGCACAGAGAUUUUGUGGAUGAUGUUAGCGCUGUUUGUGGAAAAUUAUGCGUUGGCUCAGGAAUGAAAAGAAGACUUUGAGUUCUGGGGAGAUAAUCACAAAGAGCGGGGGUGCUGAAAAUCUUGGAUGCUUUUCCAGAAUAGGAGAGUUCCCAAACUGAUGGAGUUCAAUCCCAGACUCAGGCCCUCUUCAGAAAGAAAGCAACAGCAUCCCCACAUGGUGACUGUUUUGGGCUCCAGCCCCAGCUCCAGUUCCUCUUUCCUCUCCUCAAACAGAAGAAUGACUUCAUAGAGAAAUCGAGAACAUAAAUCAUGAAUACCCAGCCCUGUAGGUAAAGAGGAUGAUCUCGUGCUAAUUCUCAAGAAAAAUAGGAAAAGGCCAGGCGCGGUGGCUUACUUCUGUAAUCCCAGCACUUCUCAAGGCUGAGGCAGGCAGAUCACUUGAGCCCAGGAGUUCAAGACCAGCCUGGGCAACAUGGCAAGACUCCAUCUCUACAAUAAAUACAAUAAAUUAGCCAGGCGUGGUGGUGCAUGCCUGUGCUCCCAGCUACUCAGGAGGCUGAGGUAGGAGGAUGACUUGGGCCCAGGAGGUCAAGGCUGCAGUGAGCUAUGAUCACAUGACUGCACUUGAAUCCUGGGCAACAGAACAAGACCCUGCCUCAAAAAUAAAAACUAAUAAAAAUAGGAAAAGAUAUUCUAUCUUUUGUAUUUUGGAGUUAAAGGCU